UUCCGGUUGAUCCUGCCGGAGGCUACCGCUAUUGGAGUUCGAUUAAGCCAUGCGAGUCGCGAGAAUUAGAUUCUCGGCGUACCGCUCAGUAACACGUGGGUAACCUGCCCUAUGCUGGAUAAUAACCUCGGGAAACUGAGAAUAAUGAUCUAUAGUUCACUACGCCUGGAACGGUGAGUGGAUGAAAGCCCCGGCGGCAUAGGAUGGGCCUGCGGCGUAUCAGGUUGUAGGGGGUGUAAUGUACCCUCUAGCCCUCUACGCGUACGGGUGUUGAGAGACAUCGCCCGGAGAUGGAUUCUGAGACACGAAUCCAGACCCUACGGGGUGCAGCAGGCGCGAAAACUUGGCAAUGCGAGAAAUCGUGACCAGGGAACUCCAAGUGCAUGGGGUAAGACCUAUGCUUUUCUAGACUCUAAAAAGGUCUUGGAAUAAGAGGUGGGUAAGGACGGUGCCAGCCGCCGCGGUAAUACCGGCGCCUCAAGUGGUAGUCGCUUUUAUUGGGCCUAAAACGUCCAUAGCCGGUCUGAUACAUUCGUGGGUAAAUCAACCAGCUUAACUGGUUGAAUUCUGCGAGGACGGUCAGACUUGGGACCGGGAGAGGUGUGGGGUACGCUCAGGGUAGGGGUAAAAUCCUGUCAUCCUGAGCGGACCACCUGUUGCGAAGGCGCCACACUAGAACGGAUCCGACGGUCAGGGACGAAGCCUAGGGGCACGAACCGGAUUAGAUACCCGGGUAGUCCUAGGUGUAAACGCUGUGGACUUGAUGUUGGGGGUGCUCCGAGCACUCUCAGUGUCGAAGCGAAGGCGAUAAGUCCACUGCCUGGGAAGUACGGUCGCAAGGCUGAAACUUAAAGGAAUUGGCGGGGGAGCACCGCAACCUGAGGAUUGUGCGGUUUAAUUGGAUUCAACGCCGG
rnacentral:rRNA from 1 species